rnacentral:sRNA from 1 species
CGAUCUGCUGCGCGCAGAUGAAAUGAAUGUGACAGUCAUAGCCGCCGGCCGUGAGAAUUGCGCCCUCGCCGGCGAUCGCCUCGGUCGCCGCGCCGAUGGUCAUCGGGUUGCUCUGGCCGGUCUCGGGAUCGACGAACACCGAGCCGAGACCGUCCUGGAUGCCCGGGUUUCCCGCGUGGCCAAUGCCAACGAUGCGACCGCCCUUGAUGCCGAUGUCGGCCUUCACGACGCCCAGCUUGGCAUCGAGAAUCAGCGCGUUUGUGACGACCACGUCAAGUGACUCGGCGUCCCUGGCCAGAGGAGACUGCCCCAUGCCAUCGCG